UGGGGAAUAUUGGGCAAUGGAGGCAACUCUGACCCAGCAAUGCCGCGUGAGCGAUGAAGGUAGUUUUAUUGUAAAGCUCUUUUCUCAGGAACGAACAAAUGACGGUACCUGAGGAAUAAGCCCCGGCUAACUACGUGCCAGCAGCCGCGGUAAUACGUAGGGGGCGAGCGUUAUCCGGAUUUACUGGGUGUAAAGGGCGCGUAGGCGGGAUGCAAGUCAGAUGUGAAAUCUAUGGGCUCAACCCAUAAACUGCAUUUGAAACUGUAUCUCUUGAGUGUCGGAGAGGUAGAUGGAAUUCCUAGUGUAGCGGUGAAAUGCGUAGAUAUUAGGAGGAACACCAGUGGCGAAGGCGGUCUACUGGACGAUAACUGACGCUGAGGCGCGAAAGCGUGGGGAGCAAACAGGAUUAGAUACCCUGGUAGU
rnacentral:rRNA from 1 species